GCAAACUUCACAUACAUCUUGAGGAUCAUAUUGAUGCUCUGUAAUUAGUGUGCAAACGAAACAUAUAAACUCACAUAAGUUAAGCGUGUACUAGCGGGCGAGUUGCUGCAAGGGCUACGCUGUCAUAAAAUGGAAAAAAACAAACGUUGGCAAAACUGUCCGCCGAAAGAGAAGGUGAAACCGCUUCCGCAAACGACGCACAACAGUAGAGAAAGCUGAGCCGGGGAGUAAGGUGCAAAACUUGCUCGGGAGAGUAGGAAUUCGUGAUUCGUGUCAGCCGUAAGGGGCACAGUUGCGAGGCUGGAAGAAGCAUCUAUUCACUCCCAGUUCAUCGCAACUAAAGGAAAUCGCAAAAUAUCGUAAAAUAUCGUACUCGAACAGCACGUGUGUCGGCAGUUCUUAUCACCCGGACCACUCAGUUCUCUCGUAUUAAGUGUCGCUUUCCCGGCGGGCACCCGGAUUGCAUGCCAUAUAAACACAGCUCUUGGGCGUAGAGGACAUCCACGCAAGAACCGGAUCGCGAGUCGAUUGAAUAGCCAGAGUAAAGCAAAAGUAACUGAGUAACGGAAAAGCCUGCGGAAGCAGGCUUUUCUUUUCUGCUUUACGCUGCAGCAGAUUCGGCGAUACGCGGUGUGCAAUCGGCCAGAAAGACAGAGCUGCUCGGACGUGAAUCGUUGUAGUGACGAGUUGCCAUCAGACAAACCUGACGUGCGAGUGAAGGAAGCGUACCGAGAACACGGUGCUCGAUCGGUCAGAAAGGCACCGGAAGUGCAACAGCGGCAUUGGCCAUCGCAGCUGCCGGAGGAGGAACGUGUGGUGCGAGAGGACAGUGCGGGAGCAUCGGGGAGAUUCCCCAAUCAAACACAACGGUGAGCGUCGAACAGACUCUUUGGUACGGCGGCAUGUUCGGCAAAUGGACUACGCUGUCUGGCGACGAGAGCGACGUUUAAGGUGAAUGUUCGUCGUGCCAACACGGUUCGUAUCAAGAAAUGAAAGGGUGCACCCUCGGCGAUGAAGCGUGAGUAAAGAAAACAUUGUAAUAGAAGCUGAAAAGACAGGGCUAGAUAGAGUAGGUAGAGCUUAGGCUAAGAAGAGGAAUGUUGGGCGAAUAAAGUUUGCACACUAUGUCAGUUAAUUUGUCAUGUAGUCAAUGUUAACUAGCCGGUCCGAUUUGUGGCGCUAAUAUACGCAGAAAG